UACGUAGGGGGCUAGCGUUGUCCGGAUUUAUUGGGCGUAAAGAGCGUGUAGGCGGCCAGGUAGGUCUGCUGUGAAAACUCGAGGCUCAACCUCGAGACGUCGGCGGAAACCAUCUGGCUAGAGUCCGGAAGAGGAGAGUGGAAUUCCUGGUGUAGCGGUGAAAUGCGCAGAUAUCAGGAAGAACACCGGUGGCGAAGGCGGCUUCCUGGACCGACACUGACGCUGAGGCGCGAAAGCUAGGGGAGCAAACGGG
rnacentral:rRNA from 1 species